ACUCAUGCUGGAAUUGGACAUAGUCAAAAUGGCCAACGAGAGUAAAUACACAUCUAUGCAGUUCAUAAUUCCACACCUUAAUUUUGCAAUUCACAAACAAAAUAUUGGGGCAUAAACAUCUACUAUCAAUCUAAGAAUCAACCACACUGUUACAUUUUUAUUUUUCUAUUUCAACACACACCAAAACCAUCUAAACCGCCAAAAGCUUUGGCCGCGAACAGGAGAAGAGCUGCCGAAGUGCCCAACCGCCGAAGCCGUCAGUUACGAUCAGUCUUGUGUAUACAAAAAAAUAGAAAUGGGAUUUUCUUUGCCAAAAAAAAAACAUUCUUUAAAUAUUGUAAAAUUACGUUCCGAUCCCUAAAAUCCAGUGAAUAUACAACCACGCCCUUGAAUUUCAAAAGGAUUGAUUCAUAUCCUGAAUUUUGAUUUCAAGCGGUUAAUGACGUGUCUAUUGCUUGCAAUGCUCAAGUAGUGUUUGACACCAAGGAUAGUAAGUGCAUUCUUGAUUCUAGGGCUACUGACAUUUGAUCCCUCUUAUUUACUUAUAUUACUCUUUAAACUUUGACAAUUCAAUGUUUGCAUGGGUAAUGGUGAAUUAACACAUCUUCAAUAUAGAUCAUAUGACCUGUUACAAUUACUUUAUCAUUAAGAGUCGAUAACUGUUUAUACGUUCACAUAAAUUGCUUUCGAUCAACCAUGUUAUUCAGAGUUGUGUAUCAUAAUGCACCCUCAAUUUUUCUCUAUUAAGGGAUAUCAGGAUGGGGUGAUUAUUGGGCGAGGCACUAAGAAGCAGGGUAUAAACUACGUGGAUAGAAUUGCACAAAAAGAAAGUUGUGAUGGUAACACAUGGAUCCACAUACAUGUUAGCAUUGUUUUGACUCAGACGGCUAAGGGUAUCCAUCAUCUUAAUGCCUUGAACUCAUAAUUUAGUGCAAUUUCAAUAUAUGCACUAUUAAACGUGUAUUUUAGCUAAAAGCAAUAGGCAGACUUUUAAAACCAAUGCCACUAAGUUCUAGAACAACUUUUAUAUUUUUCGUAUUCACUAGGUUCUAUGCCUAUUUGUGGUAGCAAAAUUUUAAGUAUUUUGUCAUUUUUGUUUAUAAUAGUACUUCAAUGACUUAAUUAUAUUUAUUAAAAGGCAUAUUUGAACUUUAUUAUACUAAAUUUUGCUUGUUUUAUCUCAUGAUUUAAACUCAAUUUUAAACCAAAUUCAAGGUUUUCCGAUCUAAUAAAAGGUUAGAUCAAUUUUUUUAAUUCUUCGAUGACUCGAUUCUUUCAAGAAAAGGUUCUCAUCCACCAAACUAAUUGCCCCAUAGUAGCGGAAAGAAAAAACUGUCUUCCUCUAUAAAUUACCCGAUCUCUUCUCAUAAGCCCCCAACAUUAUGUACAACAGAAGAAAAUUAUGAAAAGAAUUAUGUAAAACUCAGACACAAAGGCCUUUUUAUUCAAACAAGGCACUAUGCACAAUCAAAUCAGUUACCAGUAAUGACUUUAAAUUGUCUUGCUCAAAGGAAAAUACCGCGGAAAUAAGAUGAUCAAGCAAGACAUAGCUAGAGAGCCUAGGUGUAACACCCCGACUUUUUCUACCCUUUUUUAUUUGUUCUCGUAGUGAUAUUGUUUGUGCAUCUAAAAGUUUUUCCCCUUUAUUUAUUUGUCGAGAGAAGUAUUUCACUUUUUGGGCCAAACAAUUAUUCUUUUACUAUAAAUUAGGAACCCGUUUGUUAUGAGCCCAAUUUUUAAAUUCUUCCUUCUUUAAGCCCAAAAUUAGUCCUCUUAAUUUUAAUCCAAGGAUAUCACUCUUCAAUUUCAAAUCCAAGAUAGUUAUCUCAAAUCUCUCCACUACCCUAAAAAAGAGGAAUAUAAUUAGUCAAAUCUUUUCCCAUGGAGAUAUAUACUCCAUCGAUUCCAUAAUUUAAAUCAUUCUCUCAGAUAGCCAAAGAAAUAGAUAGAGAGGGAGUCGUAGGUUUCAUCAAGUUUCCUUCAUGUAAUUGCAAAAUCUUUCUCCCUUCCAAAAAGGGUGAAUGUUUGCAAGCUAUUUGAGAACGGAACAGAAAAACGAGUUGAGGAUUUAAGAGAACGAGGUUCAGCGUGACGAGUGCGGUGGGUGUUGAUCAAGAUCGUUGAAGAAAUUUAAGUGUU